rnacentral:lncRNA from 10 species
GCCAGUAUUAUCAGCUUGACAUCUAAUUGGAUAUUCCCUCAGUUUCACACAGACAUGGAAAACGUGAUAUAAUCAAACAGAGUGGAAGGUAAGAAUAUAAUGGUUGAUAUUAAUGUUUCAUUUUAUGCCAUUGAGCAAGUCCAUCAUCCUCAUGGGCUACGAUUACCUCACUUGAGAAAUUAAAAGUUUUAUUCAAAUAUACUUAAGUUCACUUUGGGGUCUGAGAUGUUAGUAUUUUUUAGAAAUAAAAAUCUUCCAUGUUUAGUUCUCAAACAAAAUUGUAAUGUGAAUCACUAAGAAAUAGGACAGGUUUGAUCUUUCACUCUACUUGUUCUAUGCAUUCUAUUACCAACAUAGACUUUUAGUUGAGUGCAUAUUAAAUUAGUGAUGCACAAUACAAAGUAAUUUAGCUUAUAGUAAAUUUUAAUAGUUGUACAAUUGAAUUUUUUAUUCUAGUUUUAGAAAAAUAGAAGUGUUUGUACACAUUUCAAGAACAUCAGUAAGUCUGCAUCUCACCAGUUUCUUUCUAUAAGUAGUGUUAAAGUUUGUUCGGCAGCAGCAGAUUAUAAAACAAACUAAUCUCAUGAGCAGGAGAAAAUCACUGGGCUCAAAAUCUUGCCUGUCUGGAGACAGUCAGACUUUCCAUCAGGGACCUGCCAUCUCUAGCUCCACAAAUCUACUCCUACAGGCUCUUUGUCUGAAAUGAACAAGGUAACUCCAUGAAACAUAACAUGCUUAGAUGUUCUGUUACUUACUAUUUCCCUUUAUUAUUCAGUUUGCAGAAACUCUGUAGACUAUAUCUCUUGAAGCCAUGAAUAAACCCCAUCGCUAUUCAUGGAAAAAUAAUACAUGACAUUUUUAUUUUACAGACAAUUUCCCAUCUACAGAAAUUUAAUACUUAAAUUCAUGAUAAAUGUGUAGAGUCAGAUAGAGUGUAACGAUGCCAGUAUGUGUCAAUUUGCUACUUUAAUGUGUUCCGUCAUUUUCAUCUCUCCUGUUUUCUGAGUGAUAGUAAUUGAUGCUGCAAAAGGACAAACCAAUGUAUUGUGUUCCUCUCUUCAGGAAGCAAAAGUAGCAUCUUCCUGCAUUGAAAUGAAAGCCAAAAAGGGCAUGAGCCAAAGGAGAGAACUAAUUUAGUUAUAUAAUUUUAGAAAUAAGAUGUGAGCUCAGUUUGUUCAAGGUAGGGCCAAGGCAUCUGUUAGUCAUAGUCAUACACAUGUGCAGGUCAAGAUUCACUUUCUAAAGCCUCACUAUACCCCAGUAAAAAAUAGAAGAUCAAUAUAAACAGCCAUAAAUUUUAGAUAGUUUUAUCAGUUUCCAAAGAUAAGCAUCAAUCAGAAGAGUAACAUCAGCAAAAUGGCUGACCAACAGACCCUUGACCUUGUCCCCCUCACAAAGUCAACCAGAGCAAUGACUAAACAAAUACAUAUUAAUGAAAAUAACUGAGAGAGAGGGCCGGAGUGCAUAAGAGGAGUAACAGAAACCCUGUUGAGCACAGAAAUCCAGGAUAGCCACAUAAAGAAUAGAAAAAAAUCCCAGGCUUCCACCAUCCCAUCCCCCAAUUGAGAUUAGCUGGGAGCCAGGAGGAAAUUUUCCCCACAGCAUGGAGGUAAGAAAGAAGAUCGCAACAACUCUUUUCAACACCUUAGACAUUGAUAAGGUUUGGCUCUGUGUCUCCACCCAAAUCUCAUCUUGUAACUCCCAUCAUUCCCACAUAUUGUGGAAGGGACCCAGUGAGAAAUGACUAAAUUAUGAGGAUGUGUCUUUCCCAUGCUGUUCUCAUGAUAGUGAAUGGGUCUCACAAGAUCUGAUGGUUUAAAAAAUGGGUGUUGUGCUGCACAAGAUCUCUUUGCCUGCUGCCAUCCAUGUAAGAUGUGACUUGCUCCUCCUUGCCUUCUGCCAUGGUUGUGAGGCCUCCCCAGCCAUGUGGAACUGUAAGCCCAAUAAACCUUUUUCUUUUGUAAAUUGCCCAGUCUUGGGUAUGUCUUUAUCAGCAGCAUGAAAACAGACAAAUACAGUAAACUGGUACCAGUAGAGUGGGGUGCUGCUGAAAAGAUACCUGAAAAUAUGGCAGUGACUUUGGUACUGGGUAACAAGCAGAGAUUGGAACAGUUUAGAGGGCUCAGAAGAAGACGGGAAAAUGUGGGAAAGUUUAGAACUCCCUAGAGACUUGUUGAAUCACUUUGACCAAAAUGCUAAUAAUGAUAUGGACAAUGAAAUCCAGGCUGAGGUGGCCUCAGAUGGAGAUGAGGAAAUUGUUGGAAACUGGAGCAGAGGUGACUAUUAUGUUUUAGCAAAGACACUGGCAGCAUUUUGCCCCUGCUCUAGAGAUUUGUGGAACUUUGAACUUGAGAGAGAUUGUUAGGAUAUCUGGCAGAAGAAAUUUCUAAGCAGCAAAGUAUUCAAGAGGUGACUGGGUGCUGUUAAAGGUGUUCAGGUUUUUAAGGGAAGCAGAGCAUAAAAGUUCAGAAAAUUUGCAGCCUGACAAUGUGAUAGAAAAGAAAAUCUCGUAUUCUGAGGAGAAAUUCAAGCCAGCAGCAGAAAUUUUCAUAAGUAAUGAGGAGCUGAAUGUUAAUCUCCAAGAAAAUGGAAAAAAAUGUCUCGAGGGUAUGUUGGAGAUCUUCACAUCAGGCCCUCCCUUCACAAGCCUAGAGGCCUAGGAGGCCUAGGAGGAAAAGUGGUUUUGUGGCUGGGCCCAGAGUCCCCAUGCUAUGUCCAGCCUAGGGACUUGGUGUUCUGUGCCCCAGCUAAAAUGGGCCAAUGUAGUGCUCGCGCCAUGGCUUCAGAGGGUGCGAGCCCCAAACUUUGGCAGCUUUCAUGUGGUGUUGAGCCUGCAGGGGUGGGGCUCUCAUGAAGAACAUCUAUUAGAACAGUGCAGAAGGGAAAUGUGGGGUUGGAGCUCCCACACAGAGUCCCUGCUGGGGCACCACCUAGUGGAGCUGUGAGAAGAAGGCCACCAUCCUCCAGAUCCCAGAGUGGUAGAUUCACUGACAGCUUGAACUGUGCACCUAGAAAAGCUGCAGACAUGUAAUGCCAGCCCAUGAAAGCAGCCAGGAAUUCAGCUGUACCCUGCAAAGCCACAGGAGCAGAGCUGUCCAAGACCACAAGAACUCACUACUUCCAUUGACAUGAACUGGAUAUGAGACAUGGAGUGAAAAGAGAUAAUUUUGGAGUUUUAAGGUUUGACUGCCCCAUUGGAUUUUGUACUUGCAUGGGGCCUGUAGCCCCUUUCUUUUGGCCAGUUGCUCCCAUUUGGAAUGGCUGUAUUUACCCAAAGCCUGUACCCUCAUUGUAUCUAGGAAGUAACUAAAUUGCUUUAGUUUACAGGCUCAUAGGCAGGGGGGACUUGCCUUGUCUCAGAUGAGACUUUGGACUGUAGACUUUUGAGUUAAUGCUGAAGUGAGUUCAGACUUUGGAGGACUGUUGGGAAGACAUGAUUGGUUUUGAAAUGUGAAGAUAUGAGAUUUGGGAGGGGCCGGGGUGGAAUGAUAUGUUUUGGCUCUGUGUCCCCACCCUAAUCUCAUCUUGUAGCUCCCAUAAUUCCCACCCAUUUUGGGAGGGACUCAGUGGGAGAUGAUUGAAUUAUGGGGGCGGGUCUUCCCAGUGCUGUUCUCAUGAUAGUGAAUGGGUCUCACAAGAUCUGAUGGUUUUAAAAAUGGGAGUUGCCCUGCACAAGCUCUUUGCCUGCUGCCAUCCAUGUAAGAUGUGACCUGCUCCUCCUUGCCUUCUGCCAUGAUUGUGAGGCCUCCCCAGCCAUGUGGAUUUGUAAGUUCAAUAAAC